rnacentral:rRNA from 1 species
UUCGGUGGCUUUAGCGGAGAGGCUACACCCGUUCCCAUCCCGAACACGGAAGUUAAGCUCUCCAGCGCCGAUGGUACUGCAUGAUUUCAUGUGGGAGAGUAGGACGCCGCCGAAU